UUUUUACAGAAUAAAAUACAUAUAUUUAAACACAAUUACAUUCACACAGAUUAUUAUAUCAUGGAUCUUAAGAAAGAGAUUAAGUGACUCCCUCUGGAGAAGUGGAAUGGAAAAUAUGCUGAGACAAAUAGGAAAUUUAUUCUAUGCUUUAUCCCAUUUUGUAUGGCUUUCAUCUUUACUAUUUAGUAUUAUCUAUUACAUUUCAAUUUUUCUUUAAAAAUUAGCUUUAUAUUAAAGUUGUGUAUAUUAUGUAACUAAAGUUUAUAAAGAAGGAAGCCUUAUAUACCAUUAAAUAUCUUAUAUAACAUAAUAAAAAGAAUAACUUGGGAGUUCCUAUCGUGGCGCAGUGGUUAACGAAUCCGACUAGGAACCAUGAGGUUGCGGGUUCGGUCCCUGCCAGUGGGUUAACGAUCCGGCGUUGCCGUGAGCUGUGGUGUAGGUUGCAGACGUGGCUCGGACUGUGGCCCUGGCAUAGGUUGGUGGUUACAGCUCCGAUUUGACCCCUAGCCUGGGAACUUCCCAUAUGCCGUGGGAGCGGCCCUAGAAAAGACAAAAAAAAAAAAAAAAAAAAAAAAACAAGAAAAAAAAAAAAAAAAAAAACACCCCCUNNNNNNNNNNNNNNNNNNNNNNNNNNNNNNNNNNNNNNNNNNNNNNNNNNNNNNNNNNNNNNNNNNNNNNNNNNNNNNNNNNNNNNNNNNNNNNNNNNNNNNNNNNNNNNNNNNNNNNNNNNNNNNNNNNNNNNNNNNNNNNNNNNNNNNNNAACUGUAUUAUUUAAUUGUACAGUUGCAUUAAUUAUAAUUAUCAUAAAUUCUUUCUGAUUUAUCUCCAGGAAAUCAGAAUCAGUUUUAAGAAGACUUCAGCAUUCCAAGAAUGAUGUCAAAUGACCCCCUUCAUGGUGGAUUAUGCACUUAUUUACUAUUAGAUAUAUUUCUUCUCCAGAGAUUCCUUGUUUGUGUAUCAGUUGUAGAUUUUUGGUUUGCAGUUACUCUGAAGUUUUGAUAUAAGAGUCUACAUGNAUUUUUGUUUCCUGUUGCUGUCUUUUCUUUUCUGCCUAGAGAAGUUCCUUUAGUGUUUGUUGUAAGGCUGGUUUAGUGUUGCUGAAUUCUUUCAACUUUUGCUUAUCUGUGAAGGUUUUGAUUUCUCUUUCAAUUCUGAAGGAGAGCCUUGCUGGGUAAAGUAAUCUUGGUUGGAGGUUUUUCCCUUUCAUCACGUAAGUAUGUCAUGCCACUCCCUUCUCUCCUGCAGAGUUUCUGCUGAAAAACCUGCCGACAACCUUAUUGGGGUUCCCUUGUAUGUUACUUGUUUCUUUUCCCUAGCUGCUUUCAAGAUUUUCUCUUUGUCUUUAAUUUUGGUUAGUUUGAUUAAUAUGUGUCUUGGUGUAUUCCUCCUUGGGUUUAUUUUAUGUUGUACUCGUUGUGCUUCCUGGAUUUGAGUGAGCGGUUCCUUUCCUAUGUUAGGGAAGUUUUCAGCUAUUAUCUUUUGGAAUAUUUUUUCUGUCCCUUUCUCUCUCUCUUCUCCUUCUGGCACCCCUAUAAUACGGAUGUUGGUGUGUUUCACAUUGUCUCAGAGUUCUCUGAGACUGUCUUCAUUUGUUUUCAAUCUUCUUUCUCUUUUCUGUUCUGCAUCUGUAAUUUCCACUAAUCUGUCCUCCACCUCGCUUAUUCGUUCUUCUGCCUCUAGUAUCCUGCUGUUAGCUGCUUCUAGUGAGUUUUUUAUUUCAGUUAUUGUAUUUUGCAUCUCUUCUUAAGUUUUAUAUCUUGUAUCUCUUUGCUCAGUGUUUCCUGUAAGUUAUCCAUCUUUGCCUCCAGUUUCUUUCCAAUGUCUUGCAUCGACAAUCUAAAGUCUUUUUCCUGGAUGCUGAGAAUCUCCUCAUCGCUUAGCUGAUUUUCUGGGGUUUUUCCUUUCUCCCUCAUCUGAGUUAUAGUUCUCUGUCUUUUCAUUUUUAUAGGUUUUUGGUGUGGUGACCUUUUUACAGAUAAUAGAGUUGUAACCUCUCUUACUUCUGGUGUCUGCUCCCCUUGUGGCUGAAGUCAGUAUGGGAGCUUGCUGUAGGCUUCCUGAUGGGAGGGGCUGAUGCCUGCCCCCUGGUAGGUGGAGCUGAUUCUAACUCCUCUGGUGGGUGGGGCUUAGUCUCUGGAUGGGAUUAGAGGCAGCUGUGUGCCUGAGGGGUCUUUAGGCAGUGUGUUUACUGAGGGGUGGGGCUGUGAUCCCUCCUGGAUUGUUGUUUGCCCUGGGGCUUCUCAGGCUGAUGGGUGGGGCCAGAUUGUCCCCAAAAGGUCACCUCCAGAGAAAGGCACAGCUGCUGAAUAUUCCUGAGAGCUUUGCUUUCAAUGACCAUCCCUCACAACAAGCCACAUUCACCCCUGCUUUCCCAGGAUGUCCUCCAAGAACUGCAGUCAGGUUUGACCCAGCUUCCUAUGGAGACUUUGCUUUGCCCUGGGACCCAGUGCAUGUGAAAGUCCGUGUGCACCUUUUAAGAAUGGGGGCUCCGUUUCCCCCAGUCCCGUGGAGCUCCUGCGCACAAGCCCCACUGGCCUUCAAUGCCAGAUGCUCCAGGGACGCUUUCUCCCAGGGCCAGGUCCCCGCAUGUGAGGGUUUGAUGUGGGGCUCGGAACUCUCACUCCUGUAGGUGAGUCUCUGUGAACCAGUUAGUUUCCAGUCUGUGGAGCUUCCCACCCCGGAGGUAUGGGGUUGUUUAUACGGCAAAAUCGCCCCUCCUACCUCUUGAUGUGGCCUCUUCUUUUUCUUCUGGAGUAGGGUAUCUUUUUUAAGGUUUUCAGUCCAUUUGGGUGGAGAUUGCUCAGCCUUUAGUUGUGAAUUUUGUUGUUUUUAGGGGAGAAGUUGAGCUCCAGUCCUUCUAUUCCGCCAUCUUAAUCCUCUCUCCACUAGUCAGGUUCUUAACCAGCUGAGCCACAAUGGGAACUCUUUUUAUCUUCUCAUUCAGGCAACAUAUAUUCAUGAAGGUACCAUGUCAGGGACUGUGACAGGCUGACCAAGUCCCACCCUCUGGAGUUCAUAGCCCGGGGAGUGAGAAAGAAAACCCAAUAGGCUCUUCCCUCCCAGAGUGGCAGGGGCAGCAUGGGGGUGGGGAAUGCAAAGAGCUGAGGGCGAGAGAAGAAGGGCCUCUGUCCCUGUUUGGCAGCUGUCAGAGCAGGCUGCCUGGAGGAAGCGAUACACAGGCUGAGAUCUGAAGGACCAAUGAGAGGGCUGAGCAGGUGGAAUGGGAGGGAGGAGGUCUGGGAUGGGGGAGCAGCUUCCGGGUCUGGAGGCAGGAAGAGAAGGUGAGGAAGGCAGAGUGAGGAGCCCGGUGGGAUGCUGUGCUUGGGUCCUGGCCCUCCUCCCUGGCCUGGGAGAUGGAAAUAACUGAUCCCUCCUCUGGCCACCGUCCUGGCUGCUGACAGUCUCUCUCCUGGUACCGAUGGCCUCGGGCCUGGGGGAGGCUCUGGUGUGGAGCCUGGGGCGUCAGAAGCCGGUGGCCAGAGAGGGCCCUGGCUCUGGGACUGAAAUCCCUGGGGUGUCCUGGAGGCCACCUCGGCCAGAGCAUCUGCAGUCUCUGGACAGGGCUGGGCCCUGCAGAGUCUGGAAAAAAACACAGCACGCCUGGAAGGAUGAAGGCGGCUGGAAAUCUUGACAGGUUUCUGGGAUGUACAUUUGAGAACCCAGAGAUGACACAUGUCUUGCCUAAUUUCAGGACGGUGGAGGCGGAAGGGAGAGGCCAGCCGGGCAUGCCCGUGGGUCCAGGCGGGGGCAAGGGCCUCUGGCUGGCCGCCCCACCCCCCACCCCGUAGUUUCCGGCGUAAAAGAGCGAUGAGGUUUAUUUCCCUUCUGACAACGCGUCGAUUCGACUUGCCUACUCCGCUGGGCACCCCGGUGCAGAUGAAAGAGGGCGAUGCAUCAAACAUUAACGAUCUCUGCCCGGGAGGGGGUGUGCGGGCUGCAGGCGCCCUGCCCGGGGAUCUGCCAGCCUCGCAGCCUCGCUGGCUGAGGACCAGACCGCGCAGGCGCAGACGCGGCCUGGAAAGCAGAGCGGGGUGGGGGGGGGCAGAGGCCCUCUCCGUGCACACUCACCCCCACCCACACAUGAAAGCCGGCCCCGGGGGUGCCAGAAACUGACCACAGAUCAAUAUGCCUCCCUGAUCAGCUGCCUCGUGCCAGUGAGGCCUGCUGCGUGCCAGGCGGCGGGGAGGGGGGGUAAGCGUCUAUUUCAUCCUCCACAGCCUUCAGGGAGCUGCCAGCAGUUCGGACUGGACGUGGUGAUGCCUGCUGACCCUGGGCGUGAUGCUGGGUCAGCUCUGAGGGUCCCCGCUGCGGUCAGCCGUGCAGCCCACGCGUCUCCUAGGGGCACCUCUGUGGCCAGGCGUCAGGAGGGCUCAGAUCCGCUUCCCUGUGCGGCAGUGCUUCU
rnacentral:lncRNA from 1 species